rnacentral:rRNA from 1 species
UACGUAGGGUGCGAGCGUUGCCCGGAUUUAUUGGGCGUAAAGGGCGCGUAGGCGGCUACGCACGUCCGUUGUGAAAUCGCUCGGCUCAACUGGGCGGGGUCAGCGGAUACGGCGUAGCUGGAGCAAGCUAGGGGGCAAUGGAAUUCCCGGUGUAGUGGUGGAAUGCGUAGAUAUCGGGAGGAACGCCAGUGGCGAAGGCGGUUGCCUGGAGCUUUGCUGACGCUGAUGCGCGAAAGCGUGGGGAGCGAUCCGG